AGUGAACGCUGGCGGUAGGCCUAACACAUGCAAGUCGAACGGCAGCACAGUAAGAGCUUGCUCUUACGGGUUGCGAGUGGCGGACGGGUGAGGAAUACAUCGGAAUCUACUUUUUCGUGGGGGAUAACGUAGGGAAACUUACGCUAAUACCGCAUACGACCUACGGGUGAAAGCAGGGGAUCUUCGGACCUGGCGCGUGUGGAUGAGCCGGUGGCGGAUUAGCUAGUUGGUGGGGUAGUGGCCCACCAAGGCUAUGAUGGGUAGCCGGUCUGAGAGGAUGACCGGCCACAUUGGGACUGAGAUACGGCCCAGACUCCGACGGGAGGCAGCAGGGGGGAAUAUUGCACAAUGGGCGGAAGCCUGAUGCAGCAACGCCGCGUGCGGGAUGACGGCCUUCGGGGUGUAAACCGCUUUCGCCUGUGACGAAGCGUGAGUGACGGUAAUGGGUAAAGAAGCACCGGCUAACUACGUG
rnacentral:rRNA from 1 species